GUACACACCGCCCGUCGCACCUACCGAUUGAAUGAUUCGGUGAAGAUUCUGGACCGUGAUCGAUCGCCCUUGGGUGUUUGGUCGUGGGAAGUUAUCUAAACCUCAUCAUUUAGAGGAAGGUGAAGUCGUAACAAGGUUUCUGUAGGUGAACCUGCAGAAGGAUCA
rnacentral:rRNA from 1 species